GGCUGAAUAGCUCAGUGGUAAGAGCAGUCGCCCGGAAAGCGAAAGACUCGAGUUCAACUCCCGAUUCAGCAA
rnacentral:tRNA from 1 species